CUGGUACUCCCUCCGUUCGGAAUUACUUGUCUCGGAAAUGGAUAUAUUUAGAACUAAAAUACAUCUAGAUACAUCUAUUUCUGCGACAAGUAAUUUCGAACGGAGGGAGUAUGUG
rnacentral:pre_miRNA from 1 species